AUCCUUCCGGUUCAUGGAAAUGAUGAAUGGGAGCGGCACGCGGCUGCGUGACGUGUGCACCCUGCGUUACGACAUUGCACAGUCCCAUCUGACC
ensembl:snoRNA